UCCUACAGCCCAGCAGUUUUGUAAGAUUGAAAGGCUUCAGAGAAUCAAGAACUAUUUCUUCAACAGGGCCUUAAGGAAGACUUGGAAGUUGUACUCGGAUGGGAGACUGCCUGGGAAUACUGAGUGCUGGAGGCU
rnacentral:rRNA from 1 species